GACGAACGCUGGCGGCGUGCUUAACACAUGCAAGUCGAACGAAGAGCGAUGGAAGCUUGCUUCUAUCAAUCUUAGUGGCGAACGGGUGAGUAACGCGUAAUCAACCUGCCCUUCAGAGGGGGACAACAGUUGGAAACGACUGCUAAUACCGCAUACGAUCUGACCUCGGCAUCGAGGAUAGAUGAAAGGUGGCCUCUACAUGUAAGCUAUCACUGAAGGAGGGGAUUGCGUCUGAUUAGCUAGUUGGAGGGGUAACGGCCCACCAAGGCGAUGAUCAGUAGCCGGUCUGAGAGGAGGAGCGGCCACAUUGGGACGGAGACACGGCCCAGACUCCUACGGGAGGCAGCAGGGGGGAAUCUUCCGCAAUGGAAGAAAGUCUGAAGGAGCAACGCCGCGGGAGUGAUGACGGCCGUCGGGUUGUAAAGCUCUGUUAAUCGGGACGAAAGGCCUUUUUGCGAAUAGUGAGAAGGAUUGACGGUACCGGAAUAGAAAGCCACGGCUAACUACGUG
rnacentral:rRNA from 1 species